rnacentral:rRNA from 1 species
AUGUUGCCAAGAUUUGGGUGGCGGCCUCCAAAAAUAAACCAAGUAAAGAUUAAUACAGAUGCAUCAGUUAAUGCAGGUGAUGUUAUCGCGGGAGCUGGAGGAGUGGCCCGGUCAUUCUCAGCCUUCAAGGGAGCUUGGUGCAAGCCGUAUAUUGGAGUCUCUGAUCCACUUAUUGUUGAGGCCCUUGCAAUCAGGGAGGGAGUCAUUUUUGCUAGACUAAGAGGCUUCACCGAUGCGACCCUUAAGACCUACUGUCUAGAGGCAGUUAACCUCUGGAACACUCGCUACACCAAUCGCUUGGUCGUAGCACCGAUCUUCGCUGAAAUUAGAGAGCUUAUUAUUAGUUUUUCUUCUUUUGUUAUUCAACAUGUAAUAAGAGCGGCAAACGGUCCUGCACACUUGUGUGCUACGCGUGCUUCUACGCUUAAUGUGACUGAGAGUUGGCUCGAGACUACCCCUAGCUUCCUGAUCCGCAGCCUAUUGGCUAACUGCUCGGCAAAUGCCUUUGUUGAAUAA